AUAGCAGGAGGAAAUCAGCCUUGAGUCAAAUACACAUAUUGCAAAAUUCAUGUCCUAUAUUGUAGACUGUAAUUAAAAUGUAGAGUAUCCGGCUCUGAUAAAUGACUUCCUUGUCCUAUGGAAUGGGUAUGAAAUGCUGUGGUAUUUUUUAGUCUCAUAAUUGAGAUGAGACUAAAUGAGAAGAUAAUUUUAGUCUCAUCAAUUUGAUGCCGUCUUGCCACCUUUUACAAGCGUGGUGGUACAUCAAAAUCUUCAGGAAUAAAAUGCUCAGGAAAUUCAAUACACAAAUUUUACAGUGGAUGGACUGGAGAAAAAUAAGCUAGAAUUGAAGUUAGUUGACGUGGUGGUGAUGUGCAUGGGUUGUUGUGUGGUGUCUCCCCCACCCUUUCCCCCCAUAAGAUGUCUGUAUUGCUUACUAGUCUCCUGGACGUCCUUGAUAGGUGGGAUUGGGGUGAGGGGAGGAGGAAUUAGGGACUUACAGGGCACAUUUUAACUCAUUUUACAGCUGUCAUCUAAAAUAAGUUGUAUGAAUCAUUCCUGAAAGGGGCCUGUUCCCUCUGCAUUGGAUACAAAGAAGCCCAGGGCAACCAGCUCAUCUCUGUCAGAGAUGUCUAAAAUUAGAUGAGAUGAUCCCACUCAAACAGUUAAAAUUAGCUUUGUGUGUACAUCUCUCACUCUGCUUUUAAACUUUCCAUUUUCUAGUGUUCUGUUUAUGUGAGCUUUCUAAAUCAAUCUGUGAUUGUUCAUAAUGUCAAUAAAUAAAAUGAAGGUAGCAGUUUCUUUGUUUUCCCCCAUUACUACCUGUCUCCUACAACCAUCUCUACCAAAGAAUCUUCUCCAGUGGCUGAAAACAGUUAAAGAAAUGACAUUUAAUUAAGAGAUACAGUUAUUGCGACUGCAUUUGAAUUGUCCUGAGGAGAUGAAACAAUCUGGAAGAAGCUUCUCUCUUUCCUUUAGCUUAACUAAGUUGUCCAUAAUCUGCUACUGUUUCCUCUGGUGUCAGAAAAUUUAGUACACAGGCUGACAACUCCCUCUGCUAGUGUGAGUUCAUUUGUGAAAAUACUAGGCAUUACAGUCUUCGUCCUUACAGAAAGAUAAAUACUUGAGGUUAGUACUAUUUGCAUUCUUGAGGAAUCCUGAAGAAUUUUUAUAGUUUCAGUAGUUCAGAUGUAACAAGCAGGUCUUUCAUUUGCGUAUAGUAAACACAGCCAAAGAUUCAGCUUUAUUUUUAAUACAUACAUCCUGUAAGACUUCAAAGUUGGCCCACCAAACUUAGAGAAGGGAUUGAAGGUAAAAGCGAAAAGCCAAAGUGUAAGUUAAAACACUUUCAGAACACAUUGCGUUGGUUUUAUCAUAGUUGCUUUCCUUUAUUGUAACAUUUGAAGAUAAAGCUUUAUGGAACAACUUGAAAUAUUUUCCUUGCACAAACUGAUCUUAUGUUAUAUAGGUAUUUGUAUGCAGUCAAGGUCUGCAUAUGCUGUGCUGUUUGUCACAGUGCUUCUUGGUAGCAGAAGGUAUAAUUGUUCCAGUUUGAUGGGGUGCUGAACUUAAGCAGCUGGCUUGCCUUGCUGAGGAUAGUAUAGAGCGGAGACCUUGUAAAACCUUGAAGGCUGUAACUUAACUUUCUACUGCCUCUUGUUGGAAUAGCGAACACCUGACGCUCUACUGAGCAUAAAGAUUUUACUUCUCCUUGAGUCUUCAGUAUCCUGCAGGACUCUUGGGCUGCAGCCUGGCUUACGGAUUUUUUGUCAAAGUCCUUUCAUGAGUAACUAAACAUAAAUUACAGAAGGUUAAACAUCUUCUUAUAUAACAUAUUUUUAAUGGAAACGUAACAGAUGGUAUCUGCUAAGAAAAUGUCACUCAGGCUGGAUUAUGUCAUCUUACACACGCUUAGGAGCAUUGACAGUUAAGUGUUAUCUUUCACACGUGUAUUAGUGCCCAGUGAAAUGAAUAAAACGGCCUGUUCAGCAUAUGGGCAGACUAAAGGCAGAGAGCUGAAGGAGUCAUGGCCUUGCUGUGAUAGAAUAGAAUCGUUCACUUGGAAGGGACCUUCAAAGAUCGAGUCCAACUGCUGGACCACUUCAGGGCUAACCAGAAGUUAAACAGUCUUAAUGAGGGCAUUGUCCAAAUGCCUUCUGAACACUGACAGGCAUAGGGUGUCAACCACUUCUGUCUUGCCUCCCUCCUAGCCACUUUAACAAGUGUGGUUGAACUACAUGUGAAACAGCACUUGAAUUGCUUUCAUUUACAGUAGGUCAUUUUAAAGUUGAUCGUUUUUACAAGUGAAUUUUAGAAUUUCUUAGCAUUCUGUAAACUGUGGUAAUUCAGGAGUUGUUCUGUGUGCAGUUCAGUUGUCCGUGCUGUGUCAUGAUAUUUUCUUCUCUUCAUGAGCUCUAGAGGCAUUUGAAUCAAGCUCUAAAAUUAGGUAGAUGUUACUGUUUGGACUGAGUUGGUUCCAGUUUCUCAGGAUUUUGCAACCGUAACAGAGGCUUGUGUGAAAACAUAGUUUACUCUUGUGUGUCUUGUCAGAUCACUUCCUUUGCAUCAGAUUUAGGUGGGAUUACUUGUCUCUCUUGUGUUUGUAUAUCCUAUUUCAUAUAGUAAAAAGUAUCUCCGCUUUUUCAUGCAGUAAAGUAAUAUAGUCGCAGAUAGUAUCUUUUCCAUCUACUAUUUUUAAAGAAGAUUAGACAUGAAAGCAGGUGUUCUCUAACUCUUUCUUGGAUAUCUAAGAAAAUAAAGCUGCUUUCUUUCAGGGGGGAAGUGUUACGAUGGAACAGUGAAGAGAAAUGAGUGUCAAAGAGAAUCAUAAGGGCCCUAGAAAACUUACAGGGCAGUUGAUUCACAUGUUGCCAUUGUUUUAAUGGCAUAGUGUAGUUAAUCCUUUUCAGUAUUGGAUCACUGAGAAGUAUAACACCUGUUUAAAUGCUUUUCAUACAGAUUUUCAAAAUCUGAAAAUUAAGACCUUAAUACUGAAGUUAGCAAUGCCCAGUAUCAAUGGAAAGAACUACAAAGUUGAAGUCCGUGCUUACCAUGGAAGCUGCUAUGCAGUAGAAAUGCAGAGCAGAGAAGUUUCCAGAUCUCUUGCCUCCUUCUGACUUAACGUACUUGCUUUUUCUGUCUGCUUAAGAGUAAGAGCACAAAUUUUUUAAAGGGCACUGAUACCUAACUUCCAAAGAUUAGCUGCUGUUGAAAUUGAGGCCACUGUAAGAGAAGAUAAUAUUUUCCUAUACUUAGGAAUAAUACUUAGGAAAGUAAGUAGUUACAUCAGCUGCCUAGAAAGGGAUUCUAGAUCUUUCUCAGUCCAUGGAAAGACUGAAAUGAGCAUCUUUCCCUUCCCACAAAGGACGUGAGCCAUUCCUUCCUUCCCCGCCCAGCAGCAAGCCAAAUGUGGGGUGACUGGGGCAUUCUUUCCUUCUGAAGCCAGGCUGUUACACAGCCAAGAUGGAAAGCAUUUUAGGAGCAGCGUAGCCCAAUGAUUAAGGCUGUGAGGUGGGAAGGGAGAAAUUUGUGCUCUAGUUCCCUACUCCCAGAUAUUUCUACAUGGGUUGUUGUCUCUUUGCUUUGGUGUUUGGCUGUUCAGUGAUUGUCCAGUAUAAAGCAUUUAAUCAAUUCUAGAAAAAAAAAAAUCCCUGCAUCCCACCAUUGUGCAAUUGCUUUUGUUAUGUAGGCAAUUUUGUAAAAUGGUCACUUCCCACAUACAGAUGCUUCUCUCCCAGAUGUGUGUUUGAAUGGGUCUGAUCCUGAUGGUUGUGUCUGUGUGCUGGGUAAAAUGUUCACAUUUAGCUUAAACCCAACCAUAAUUUGGCCUGCUGUUGCAAAGAAGGAGAAAGUCUUUACCAUCUUUGCUGGGUUCUUUUUCCUGCCCUCUCUUUUAUGUUGGCUCCAGCAUUUGUGAUUCUCUCUUUAAUCCAAUGUAAACUAAUCUUAUUUAGUUUUUGGGUUAGCUUUCAGUCAAAUCAAUUAACAAACUGAUCCAAUUUACUCUGUGGCUAAGUUACUGCUAAAGCUGAUGUAAAACAAGUGGUAGGGAAGUGGGAGGUGGGAAAGGAGCUGGAUUUUGAUAGCAACCAUCAGUGUAAGUCUUAGGCAUGUUCAUAAAAUGCUUCACUCAUCAGACUCCUGGAUGAAGCAUUUGUGUGUCUCCAUCUUGUUUCUGGAUGACAGUAUAGCUUAUGUGAAUAUCGUUUUUUUCCAAGGUGGGGGUACUCUGGGAUAUGCACAAAUAAGUAAGUUUAGGCUCUGUCUAGUGGGGAAUCAUCUGGUGUGUCUGAGGAAUGCCCAUAGCCUUCAGAUGUGGGCUUGGCUUAACAUUGUCUUGGUUCAAGACAAUGAAGUUCAAGGGCUGACUAAGCUGAGUGCACAUACGAGGUUUAGUACUAAAUUUUCGUGAUUUGAACAAAGGGAAAACUUACUCCUGCAAAGAUCAGAAAACCCUCCUAUUUUGAAAGAUAAAGGUAUUGUUUUUGUUACGGCAGGUACAGCUGCAGGGUAAUAGAAGAACAGAGCAAAUACGUAAAACUUACGAAUUUAAUAAAUGAAUCUGAGGGGGCUGUAUCCUUCAGGUGUUGAGUACAAGACUAAUUAUUGAAAUGUGAUACAAGUAAAUGAAGUACAUUGAUUGCAUAUAAUGUAAACAACUGUUGUAUCUACGCUAGUGCUCACAUGUUAAACAUCAUCGCUAAACCUUCUCAUCCAGUAUUUACAUUUAUACUAAAAAGUAUUCUACAGCUGUUACGUAGCUUAUUAUAAUCCUCUUGGUUUCACAAAAAUGAAAUCUGUUCAACCAGUCGUUCCCCAUCUGCCUGUCACAGGACUGUUCUACCUUACGGCAGGCUUAUAGCUCCCUCCAGAGUUCCGUGUUGUGCUAAAAUACAGAAAAAUUGAGGAGAUUCAUUGUGAAAGAGUGAAAUUUUGUGCUCACAGCAUGUUCUCUGUGACACAAAUGUUUAGCUGACAGGCUGCGUUACAGACUUGAAUUUGCCUGUUCGUGUGGUGGCAUACUGAUUUUUUUGUGGAACUUGGGAGAUGUUGAGGGAUUUACUUAAUAGGUUUCUGAGGUGUUUUUAUUUUUUUUUUCCUAUGUAUUUUCUAUGCAUUUGCUGGUUUUGAGAAAGUUAAAACAAAAUUCUGAAAGGAAAAAAAAAAAGCCAUAAUACAGCCAAGACAGUGUUAUGUAUGUUAGUAUACAUUAUAUAUAAAGAAUAAUGUAAUGAUUUGAGUUGCCUAUAUGUAUGGUUUUAGGGAUAAAAUAAAGAACAUGUCUUGCCUUCCUGCACAGUGAUAUUUGGAUGCUAUAAAGUAAGACUGGGUGCAAGCUUUAGUAAAUAUUUAAUUUACUGCAAUGCAGGUGAAGAAUUGUUCUUUGGCCCAGCUAUUAACUAAGAUACAAAUAGCAUUUCUGGGUCUUGUCUAACUUGAAAUUUGCUAACUGUUUUGAAGUGGUGUUAAUCAAAGAAUAUUUUCUCUGUUGUCAUCUUUGUAGUCUUUCUUUUAUUUGUAUAUGAAUAAUUACAAAUACUUAAAAUAGUUCCAUGUUUUACAGAUCUUGUUAAACACUUGAGACAUCCCUGAAUUGAGCAUUAACCUGAAAAUGUAUUUUAUACCCUCUUCUUUAGGAGAGGGAAAGUUGUUGAAAUAAUAGGGAGAAAAGUAUUGAUUUUAAAACUGAGCCUUGAAAUAAUUUCUUCAUUCAUCUGAACAAGGCAACAGUGAAAUUUCUUUUCAAUUAAUGAGAACUUUUGUCCUUCAAUUUACGGAGAUAUGGUUUCAUCCAUCUGGAAGAAAUUUUAUAAAUUAGCAUCUAGUCCAAUACUUGCUGCUCUCAUUUCACAACCAUUUG